GAUGAACGCUAGCUACAGGCUUAACACAUGCAAGUCGAGGGGUAACGAGAGGGAAGCUUGCUUUCCUUGUCGACGACCGGCGCACGGGUGAGUAACGCGUAUCCAACCUGCCCCCAACUAGGGAAUAACCUUGAGAAAGUAAGACUAAUACCCUAUAAUUUCCUCAGAUGCCAUCUGACGAGGAAUAAAGAUUUAUCGGUUGUGGAUGGGGAUGCGUCUUAUUAGCUUGUUGGCGGGGUAACGGCCCACCAAGGCAACGAUCAGUAGGGGUUCUGUGCGCAAGGUCCCCCACAUUGGAACUGAGACACGGUCCAAACUCCUACGGGAGGCAGCAGUGAGGAAUAUUGGUCAAUGGGCGGAAGCCUGAACCAGCCAAGUAGCGUUCAGGAUGACGGCCCUAUGGGUUGUAAACUGCUUUUAUACAGGAAUAAAGUUAUCCACGUGUGGUUAUUUGUAGGUACUGUAUGAAUAAGGACCGGCUAAUUCCGUGCCAGCCGCCGCAGUAA
rnacentral:rRNA from 1 species